AUUAAACGCUGGCGGCAUGCCUUACACAUGCAAGUCGAACGGCAGCACGGGGGCAACCCUGGUGGCGAGUGGCGAACGGGUGAGUAAAGCAUCGGAACGUGCCCUGGAUGGGGGAUAACGUAGCGAAAGUUACGCUAAUACCGCAUAUUCUGUGAGCAGGAAAGCAGGGGAUCGCAAGACCUUGCGCUCUGGGAGCGGCCGAUGUCGGAUUAGCUAGUUGGUGGGGUAAAGGCCUACCAAGGCGACGAUCCGUAGCGGGUCUGAGAGGAUGAUCCGCCACACUGGGACUGAGACACGGCCCAGACUCCUACGGGAGGCAGCAGUGGGGAAUUUUGGACAAUGGGCGAAAGCCUGAUCCAGCCAUGCCGCGUGAGUGAAGAAGGCC
rnacentral:rRNA from 1 species